CGUCGUCAAUCUGUUGCGGGCAGAUGAAGUGUAUGUGGCUGUCAAAGCCCCCCGCGGUCAGGAUCUUGCCCUCCCCCGCAAUGGCCUCGGUUCCCGGCCCAAUAAUGAUGUUCACGCCGGGUUGCGUGUCUGGAUUGCCCGCCUUGCCGAUGGCGGCAAUGCGCCCGUCCUUAAGGCCCACAUCCGCCUUGUAGAUCCCAGUCCAGUCGACGAUCAGUGCGUUGGUGAUAACUGUAUCGACGGCCCCAUCGGCCCGCGUGACCUGAGACUGCCCCAUCCCGUCGCGAAUG
rnacentral:sRNA from 1 species